AAACCCGCAGACUGCUGCUAUGACAACCAAAGCGACCCUUGCAUGUGAAAUGAGAGAGAAAUAACACCAGAAAGAAAAGCACCUCUUCUCUACAGUCCCACUGAUGAAGGUCUUAUUCCAGGCCAGACAACUCCUCCCAGUCCAAGCAUAAAGCCAUCAUCAUCAGAUAAGAGCCCGUUCCUGGUGCUCCAUCCCCUCCUCCUGGACCAAUUGAGAUGAUGACUACCAGCGUUAGUUAACCUGGCUCAGACUCAGAACCACAGCCAGAGUUCUCUCCUGGUUCUUCUGCCAACACCAAUCAGAUCACAACGCCCAAGAGUGUUACUACAGCUGCUGAAGACGCAGAGGUGAAUAACAAGAAAACCAAAAACAGUCUCUCUUAUUAUGAAGGGUCUUACUAAGUUGCACAGGCUGGUCUGAGGCUCAUCCUGUAACCAAGGAAGACCUUGAAGUUGUGAUACUCCUGCUCCAGCCUUCAAAAGAGUUUAGAUUACAGACCUGUUCUACUAUACAGCCUA